rnacentral:rRNA from 1 species
UACAUGGGGGUGCAAACGUUGCUCGGAAUUAUUGGGCGUAAAGCGCACGUAGGCGGUUCGUUAAGUCGGAUGUGAAAGCCCUCGGCUCAACUGAGGAAGUGCACCCGAAACUGGCGAGCUUGAGUACGAAAGAGGAUCGCGGAAUUCCCGGUGUAGAGGUGAAAAUUUCGUAGAUAUCGGGGAGGAACACCGGUGGCGAAGGC